rnacentral:rRNA from 1 species
GACGAACGCUGGCGGCGUGCUUAACACAUGCAAGUCGAACGGAAAGGCCCUGCUUUUGUGGGGUGCUCGAGUGGCGAACGGGUGAGUAACACGUGAGUAACCUGCCCUUGACUUUGGGAUAACUUCAGGAAACUGGGGCUAAUACCGGAUAGGGGCUCCUGCUGCAUGGUGGGGUUUGGAAAGUUUCGGCGGUUGGGGAUGGACUCGCGGCUUAUCAGCUUGUUGGUGGGGUAGUGGCUUACCAAGGCUUUGACGGGUAGCCGGCCUGAGAGGGUGACCGGCCACAUUGGGACUGAGAUACGGCCCAGACUCCUACGGGAGGCAGCAGUGGGGAAUAUUGCACAAUGGGCGGAAGCCUGAUGCAGCAACGCCGCGUGCGGGAUGACGGCCUUCGGGUUGUAAACCGCUUUCGCCUGUGACGAAGCGUGAGUGACGGUAAUGGGUAAAGAAGCACCGGCUAACUACGUG